rnacentral:rRNA from 1 species
GAUGAACGCUAGCGGGAGGCCUAAUACAUGCAAGUCGAACGGUAACAGGUAGCAAUACGCUGACGAGUGGCGCACGGGUGCGUAACGCGUACACAAUCUGCCUUAUACUGGGGCAUAGCCUUUGGAAACGAAGAAUAAUUCCCCAUAACAUAUAGAAGAGGCAUCUCUUUUAUAUUAAAGCUCAGGCGGUAUAAGAUGAGUGUGCGUCCGAUUAGGUAGUUGGUGAGGUAACGGCUCACCAAGCCAACGAUCGGUAGCUGGUCUGAGAGGAUGAUCAGCCACACGGGCACUGAGACACGGGCCCGACUCCUACGGGAGGCAGCAGUAGGGAAUAUUGGACAAUGGGCGCAAGCCUGAUCCAGCCAUCCCGCGUGAAGGAUGAAGGUCCUCUGGAUUGUAAACUUCUUUUCUUCGGGAUAAAACUGGGUUACUCCUCAGCUUGAAGGUACCGAAGGAAUAAGCACCGGCUAACUCCGUGCCAGCAGCCGCGGUAAAACG